rnacentral:rRNA from 1 species
GGGAUAAGCGGAAGAAAUUCCGCCUAAUACCGCGUAAUAACUCCGAGAGGCAUCUCCUGGGGUUUAAAGGGUAACACCGGCUACGGAUGGCCAUGCGGCGCAUUAGCUAGUUGGCGGGGUAACGGCCCACCAAGGCGACGAUGCGUAGGGGUUCUGAGAGGAAGGUCCCCCACACUGGUACUGAGACACGGACCAGACUCCUACGGGAGGCAGCAGUGAGGAAUAUUGGUCAAUGGGCGCGAGCCUGAACCAGCCAAGUCGCGUGAGGGAAGACGGUCCUAUGGAUUGUAAACCUCUUUUGUCGGGGAGCAAAAGACGCCACGCGUGGCGUUCCGAGAGUACCCGAAGAAAAAGCAUCGGCUAACUCCGUGCCAGCAGCCGCGGUAAUACGGAGGAUGCGAGCGUUAUCCGGAUUUAUUGGGUUUAAAGGGUGCGCAGGCGGAAGAUCAAGUCAGCGGUAAAAUUGAGAGGCUCAACCUCUUCGAGCCGUUGAAACUGGUUUUCUUGAGUGAGCGAGAAGUAUGCGGAAUGCGUGGUGUAGCGGUGAAAUGCAUAGAUAUCACGCAGAACUCCGAUUGCGAAGGCAGCAUACCGGCGCUCAACUGACGCUCAUGCACGAAAGUGUGGGUAUCGAACAGGAUUAGAUACCCUGGUAGUCCACACAGUAAACGAUGAAUAAUAAUUGUUCGGG